GAGUUGAUCCUGGCUCAGAUUGAACGCUGGCGGCAGGCCUAACACAUGCAAGUCGAACGGUAGCACAGAGAGCUUGCUCUCGGGUGACGAGUGGCGGACGGGUGAGUAAUGUCUGGGAAACUGCCUGAUGGAGGGGGAUAACUACUGGAAACGGUAGCUAAUACCGCAUAACGUCGCAAGACCAAAGAGGGGGACCUUCGGGCCUCUUGCCAUCAGAUGUGCCCAGAUGGGAUUAGCUAGUAGGUGGGGUAACGGCUCA
rnacentral:rRNA from 1 species